GACGAACGCUGGCGGCGCGCCUAACACAUGCAAGUCGAACGAGAGAGGAAGAGCUUGCUUUUCCGAUCGAGUGGCGAACGGGUGAGUAACGCGUGAGGAACCUGCCUCAAAGAGGGGGACAACAGUUGGAAACGACUGCUAAUACCGCAUAAGCCCACGGCUCGGCAUCGAGCAGAGGGAAAAGGAGCAAUCCGCUUUGAGAUGGCCUCGCGUCCGAUUAGCUAGUUGGUGAGGUAACGGCCCACCAAGGCGACGAUCGGUAGCCGGACUGAGAGGUUGAACGGCCACAUUGGGACUGAGACACGGUCCAGACUCCUACGGGAGGCAGCAGUGGGGAAUAUUGCACAAUGGGGGAAACCCUGAUGCAGCGACGCCGCGUGGAGGAAGAAGGUCUUCGGAUUGUAAACUCCUGUUGUUGAGGAAGAUAAUGACGGUACUCAGCAAGGAAGUGACGGCUAACUACGUGCCAGCAGCCGCGGUAA
rnacentral:rRNA from 1 species